rnacentral:rRNA from 1 species
GCUAACUCCGGGCCAGCAGCCGCGGUAAUACGGAGGGUGCAAGCGUUAAUCGGAAUUACUGGGCGUAAAGCGAGCGUAGGUGGCUUGAUAAGUCAGAUGUGAAAUCCCCGGGCUUAACCUGGGAACUGCAUCUGAUACUGUUAGGCUAGAGUAGGUGAGAGGGAGGUAGAAUUUCAGGUGUAGCGGUGAAAUGCGUAGAGAUCUGAAGGAAUACCGAUGGCGAAGGCAGCCUCCUGGCAUCAUACUGACACUGAGGUUCGAAAGCGUGGGUAGCAAACAGGAUUAGAUACCCGUGUAGUC